rnacentral:ncRNA from 1 species
GAUAGAAUAAUGUUGGUAUUAGGGAAGUCGGAAAAUUAAAUUCGUAACUUUGGUAAAAGGAUUGGCUCCAGUGACCGAGUCGGUUGGUCUGUUAACUGACGCUUGUGCGGUUUUUGUCCGUAAACGGCAGAUGUGCGUUUGAAGCACUGACGCUGGACUAGCGAUAUGACCACCAUGUGGACAUUUACAGGUGUGUUUGCUUUGCCUCCUGGUUUAGUGUCCUAAUCGACCAUCACAACGGUCGAAAUGAAACUGGUACGGAUUCGGAGAAUCCUACGCUCUAAUUAAAACAGAGGAAAAAGGUGGUCCUUGCGGACGUUUACUGUCUCUGAUUUCCGCCCGGUGCUUUGGAUGUUAAAUCGUAGCAAUUUGAGUAAGCGCAGGUAAACGACAGGUGUAACUAUGACUCAAGGUAGCCAAAUGCCUCGUCGGCUAACCACUUUCGCUAACUCCUAUCUAGCGGAACUACAGCCAGAAGAACACGCUUGGUAAAAGUAGCGGAGAAAGACGACGAUUCUGUUGAGCUUGACUCUAGUUUGACAUUGUGAAGAAUCAUUAGAGGUGUAGCAUGGGUGGGAGAUCGCGUUCGCAUGUGAUCGUCAAUGAAAUACCACCACCUUCAUCGAUUUUUUACUUAUUCGCCAAAAAAAAACAAUUGAGUUUCACGACUCUUUAUUUAUUUGUGUUAAGUAAAGUCACGUGGUGACAUUACGACUCUCGCCGAAGACAUUGUCAAGCGUGGAGUUUAACUGGCGUGACACAACUGUAACGCAAGUAUUCUAAGGUUAGCUCAGAGAGGACGGAAACCUCUCGUAGAGCAAAGGGCAAAAGCUGGCUUGAUCUUGACUUUCAGUACGAGUAUAGACAGCGAAGGCGUGGCCUAUCGAUCCUUUUAAUCCAGAGAGUUUCUGGUAAGAAGUGUCAGAAAAUCUACCACAGAGAUAACUGGCUUGUGGCAGACAAGCGUCCUUAGCGACGUUGCUUUUUCAUCCUUCGAUGUCGGCUCUUCCUACCAUUGCGAAUCAGAAUUCGCCAAGCGUUGGAUUGUUCACGCACUAAUAGGGAACGUGAGCUGGGUUGAGACCGUCGUGAGCCAGGUUAGCACUACCCAAAUGUUGACAUAUUGUUACGAUAGUAAUCCUACUCAGUACGAGAGGAACAGCAGGUUCAAACAUUUGGUUCGUGGACUAGACCGAUCGGUCGAUGGUUCGAAGCUAACAUCUGGGGAUUAAGACUGGACGCCUCUAAAUCAGAAUCCCACCUAGUCAAGGUGAAGACAACUUUGUUUCUCGGUGACGGGAGACAACCAUAUCUCACGACAUAUGCCAUGAGAGUUUAUACCCUAGUAUAUGGCUUUGCCAGUAUGGAUAAUCCCUGCUGGUUGCCAGAGCCUGAACACUCUGGUUCAAUGUCGGGGCGCAAAAUCACAUGUUUACGACAUGUUUGCUGGUCAAGGUGUUGUAUCCAGUAGAGCAGUGUCUGUGUAUUGCGAUCUGUUGAGAAUAUCCUCUGAUCGGGUGUUUU